CAGCAGCCGCGGGAAUACGGAGGGUGCAAGCGUUAAUCGGAAUUACUGGGCGUAAAGCGCACGCAGGCGGUCUGUCAAGUCGGAUGUGAAAUCCCCGGGCUCAACCUGGGAACUGCAUUCGAAACUGGCAGGCUAGAGUCUUGUAGAGGGGGGUAGAAUUCCAGGUGUAGCGGUGAAAUGCGUAGAGAUCUGGAGGAAUACCGGUGGCGAAGGCGGCCCCCUGGACAAAGACUGACGCUCAGGUGCGAAAGCGUGGGGAGCAAACAGGAUUAGAGACCCCAGUAGUCCCUGUCUCUUAUAC
rnacentral:rRNA from 1 species